AUAAUUAGUUAAUUAUUCCGUUUAUAAUUUUAAGAAAAGAAGUGUAACAUUCCGUUUAUGUGAAUUACUCUGAUUAAUUAAAUGAAAUUUUUAUGUUGGGAAAACGGGGUGUUACAGCAUCCACUUGUUUACAUGAACUAUAUGAAAAAAUCCAUCAUAUAACUAAAAUACAAACACAUGUUACAAUCACACCUUUUUCACAAAAACUAAAGAUCGUUCUAGAGAUAAUAUAGUGACAAGUUAAUGUAAUAUAGUGACAAGUUAAUGUUUUCCUAUGUUUGUUAUGAUAGGCAUACUAACAAAAAAUUAUAUGCACUUAGCCAUAUUUUAACAAAGACGUAACCACAUUUUUUUCUUCAAAUUUUUAGCACUUGACCAUUUUUUAACAAAAGUGUGACCACAAUUCUUUUGAUUAAGAGUUUGACACUAACUCUCUACGUGAUAUCAUUUAGAGGAACAACCAAAGACAGACUAAAUAAUUUGGGGAAACCUUAUGAUUGUUUACUAACAAUAAUACAAUGAUAAAUGAAUGUUCUUCUAUGUAUAACAUGUUUAACAUGUUUCAAACAAACUAACUUAAAAUAGAUUCACUUAACCAACACAAAUUACCAUCCCAAACACAUAUGCAAUUCCCAUCAAGUGCAAGCAUCAACAUAAUAAGAGCCUCUGAAACUAUAUGUUGCAAAUAUCAUAUAGACAAGGAGCUAAAAUGAGGCAAUCCGAAAAUAGCUACAAAGAUUUUAAAAACAUUCUGAACUGAACAUCUUAAUACUAUGAUUGAGAGGAAAAUAAAUUAGUAAAAACUUAUGGACAAUAUUAGUAAAAAUCAUACAUAAAAUGAGAAGCAAAAUAAAUUGAGAGGAAGACUAACCUACAGUUGAUAUAGUAUUAGUAAAACUCAUACCAUAGUAUUGGGAAGUUUAGGGAGGUAGACCCUUUCAAAUGAAUUGAGCCACCCAUUAAGAAGAUUGAAAGUUUUCCCUUGUUAAGUGGCAUAUGUUACGGUGUUAGUAAAACUUACAAAUGAUAGGUAAAGUUUCAAAGCUUUUCUUGAUACUUUAACUCAUCAUUCAUUAACAUGAAUUUUUAGCGCCAUUAAAAAUGCUUUCUCAAACUAAAAAUAUCACUUUAUUUUCACUUAGCUAAUUUUUAUAUUUUCACCGUUUAUAUACAUCUAUUUGAAACUAAAAAUGGGACAUGGUAUUGACACACAAAGAUUGUCAUACAAAUAUUUGAAACUAAAAAUGGGACAUGAUAUUGACACACAAAGAUUGUCAUGAACUAACCGAACAACAAAAGAAAUAUUAAAAAAAUGGAAGAAUCAUACACAAACUAAAUUGAAGUUAUUAGAAAUCAAAGGGAUUCUGCACCAAUGUGAUUCUUUCAAAAUUAGAAAUCAAAUUACAAAUUUACAAUUCAAUCUUCUCACAAACACAUAUCAACAUGUGUAGUCGUAUAUAAACAACAGUGAAUCCCAAAUUGUGUUCUCAAAUGAAACGAAAAAACACUGAUUCUAAAUGAAUCUCACAGAAAAUGAAAAAACAAUGACAAUGAGGUAAAUCUCAAACAAAAACAUAAUUGAGAAUAUUAGGAUUUUCAAUCCUGAAGAAAACACUGCAAAAUUAAACUGAAGAAAUCAUACUGGUUUGUGAAGAGGGAGAAGCUGAUGAAUAUGUGCGUUGAGAGGUUUGGAUCUCGUUUUCUUCGGCUUUAGAGUGUGGCGGCGAUGACGAAUCAACACAAACUUGAUAUUAAAUCGUCGGCAUGGUGGAAUUUGUGUGUUGCAGAUGGUGGUGAGAGAGAUCUGUUUUGGGUUUAGAGAGAGAAAGGAGAAGAGGACAAUGAAAGAGAAAAUGGUAAAAUAUCUAAAAUAUCCCUGCCACAUAAGGGGUGUUGACAAGUG
rnacentral:lncRNA from 1 species